rnacentral:misc_RNA from 1 species
GAUGAAGAACGUAGCGAAAUGCGAUAAGUAAUGUGAAUUGCAGAAUUCAGUGAAUCAUCGAAUCUUUGAACGCACCUUGCGCCCUUUGGCUAUUCCGAAGGGCAUGCCUGUUUGGGUAUCAUGAACACCUCAACUCUUCACGGCUUGCCGUGAUGAGUUUGGACUUUGGGGGUCUUGCUGGCCUACGAGCCAGCUCCUCUCAAAUGUAUUAGCUUGCCGGUGUUUGGUGGCAUCACAGGUGUGAUAACUAUCUACGCUUGUGGUUUUCCACUAGGUAACCUUCAGCAAUGGAGGUUCACCGGAGCUCACAAAUGUCUCUCCUUGCCAAGGACAGAUUUUGACCAUUUGAUCUCAAAUCAGGUAGGACUACCCGCUGAACUUAAGCAUAUCAAUAAGCGGAGGA